rnacentral:tRNA from 1 species
GGAGGGUGCCCGGGUGGUGAGGAAGCCGCCUUGAAAGCGGUUGCCCCGAAAGGGGUUGCGGGUUCGAAUCCUGUGCCCUCCGCCU